AGGGAAUCUGAUUCAUUUUACUCUCACUCCUAAUGCAUCUGGCGGUAGACUUGCCUCAAGAACCAAAUGAAUCUUGAGCUGCUAUUACAUAUUGGAUCCCCCAUAUGAUUUGAAUUCACAUCCCUCAGGGAGGGGAGACUCUGUGGAUAACACCUUCCCUCAGUAUCACAUGCAUCCCUCCUUGUCUCCAAUGACAUUUGUGCUGGCUGGUGGGUGCCUGUCACUGCCUGCAAUGACCCAUGCUGGUGAAGGGAAAUCCACUCCCUCAUCCACCCGUGUUUUACAGGAUCUCUUGACCUGAGUCCAAGUGACUGCUGUCCAUCCAGGCCUUCUCCUGAUUUCUCUGGGGCUUGGAUGGGCCUUGCUUGGCAUCAGGAUUUGGUGCUGACCUCAGUCUCCAUCUCAUCACCCAGAACCCAGGAGCUGAGAACAGAAGUCCCCAAGCAACACAAGGAAAGAAUUCAGGUAUAAGCUGUCUGGGACAGGUCUCAAUAAGUGUUUUGAGAUAACUUCUAGUUUAAAAGACAUGGCUUCAAAAUCCAAACAAAGGGGAGAUGUCUUGGCACAGUAUCCCAGUAUGUGUUUGAAGAGCAUCACACACCAUGAAACUGAAGGCUUUGGGCAGUGCUGCUGAUUGAAUAAUGCUAAAAUACAAAAUGGAACUGUGAUUGAAUUUGAAAUUUGACCAUAUUUGUUGUCCUCUCAACGUUGUCAGUACACAUUACUGCUUCAUUUUUGCCCAGGAAAAUGGGAAAUACAGACCUUGAAGGUGUAACCUUCUGCCUGGCCCUGCUUCAGGUCAACUUC
rnacentral:lncRNA from 1 species